UUAGCUCAGUGGUGAGAGCGAGCGACUCAUAAUCGCCAGGUCGCUGGUUCAAGUCCAGCA
rnacentral:tRNA from 1 species